rnacentral:rRNA from 1 species
AUGGUGAUCUUAUGGUUGGUUUUAAACACAUAUUCCGCUUCGACUCAUCCCCGUCUUCUCAUUGAUGGCUUUGUUGCUCUUCUUUUUGACAAGAUUUUAUCCCUUCUCUUCUCUAAUCAUCGUUCUUUUGGACCCAUGGAUGAUUGGCAUUUAUGUUCUCACAAUCUUCACAAAUUCCUCAAGGGUUGGGGUGCCAAUCUGACGGUCGAGUCUCGUCGAGACAAAGUUAGUCUUUUUGAUCGAAUCAAGAAUCUUGAUUCCGUUGUUGUUUUGUGGGUCUCUCCCUUUCUGGGCUCAAAUGUACGCCUUAGAAAUCGCACUUUUGGACAUCCAUCGCCAGGAAGAAAUUUACUGGUAAUGGUGAGGACGUCUAUCCUGGAUUCUUAA